rnacentral:rRNA from 1 species
GGUCUGGAAAGGCCCGCCAAAGACGGUAACAGCCCGGUAGUUGAAAUGGCUUUCCCUCCAGAGUGGAUCCUGAGUACGGCGGAACACGUGAAAUUCCGUCGGAAUCCGGGAGGACCAUCUCCCAAGGCUAAAUACUCCCUAGUGACCGAUAGUGAACCAGUACCGUGAGGGAAAGGUGAAAAGCACCCCGGAAGGGGAGUGAAACAGUUCCUGAAACCGUGUGCCUACAAGUAGUUAGAGCCCGUUAAUGGGUGAUAGCGUGCCUUUUGUAGAAUGAACCGGCGAGUUACGAUUUGUUGCAAGGUUAAGCGGAAAAAGCGGAGCCGUAGCGAAAGCGAGUCUGAAUAGGGCGCAUAAGUAACAGGUCGUAGACCCGAAACCAGGUGAUCUACCCAUGUCCAGGAUGAAGGUAAGGUAAUACUUACUGGAGGUCCGAACCCACGCACGUUGAAAAGUGCGGGGAUGAGGUGUGGGUAGCGGAGAAAUUCCAAUCGAACUUGGAGAUAGCUGGUUCUCUCCGAAAUAGCUUUAGGGCUAGCCUCGAGGUAAAGAGUCAUGGAGGUAGAGCACUGUUUGGACUAGGGGCCCUUCUCGGGUUACCGAAUUCAGAUAAACUCCGAAUGCCAUGUACUUAUACUCGGGAGUCAGACUGCGAGUGAUAAGAUCCGUAGUCGAAAGGGAAACAGCCCAGACCACCAGUUAAGGUCCCCAAAUAUAUGUUAAGUGGAAAAGGAUGUGGGGUUGCUUAGACAACCAGGAUGUUGGCUUAGAAGCAGCCACCAUUGAAAGAGUGCGUAAUAGCUCACUGGUCGAGUGACCCCGCGCCGAAAAUGUACCGGGGCUAAACAUAUUACCGAAACUGUGGAUGAACCUCUUUAGAGGUUCGUGGUAGGAGAGCGUUCUAAGGGCGGUGAAGUCAGACCGGAAGGACUGGUGGAGCGCUUAGAAGUGAGAAUGCCGGUAUGAGUAGCGAAAGAAGGGUGAGAAUCCCUUCCACCGAAUAUCUAAGGUUUCCUGAGGAAGGCUCGUCCGCUCAGGGUUAGUCGGGACCUAAGCCGAGGCCGAUAGGCGUAGGCGAUGGACAACAGGUAGAGAUUCCUGUACCAGUGCUAAUUGUUUAACCGAUGGGGUGACACAGAAGGAUAGGGAAUCGCACGAAUGGAAAUGUGCGUCCAAGCAGUGAGUGUGAGAAGUAGGCAAAUCCGCUUCUCGCGAAGCAUGAGCUGUGAUGGGGAAGGAAAUUAAGUACGGAAGUUCCUGAUUUCACGCUGUCAAGAAAAGCCUCUAGGAAGAGUAGUACUGCCCGUACCGCAAACCGACACAGGUAGAUGAGGAGAGAAUCCUAAGGUGAGCGAGAGAACUCUCGUUAAGGAACUCGGCAAAAUGACCCCGUAACUUCGGGAGAAGGGGUGCUCUAUUAGGGUGCAAGCCCGAGAGAGCCGCAGUGAAUAGGCCCAGGCGACUGUUUAGCAAAAACACAGGUCUCUGCAAAACCGUAAGGUGACGUAUAGGGGCUGACGCCUGCCCGGUGCUGGAAGGUUAAGAGGAGUGCUUAGCUUCGGCGAAGGUACGAAUUGAAGCCCCAGUAAACGGCGGCCGUAACUAUAACGGUCCUAAGGUAGCGAAAUUCCUUGUCGGGUAAGUUCCGACCCGCACGAAAGGCGCAACGAUCUGGGCACUGUCUCAACGAGAGACUCGGUGAAAUUAUAGUACCUGUGAAGAUGCAGGUUACCCGCGACAGGACGGAAAGACCCCGUGGAGCUUUACUGCAACCUGAUAUGGAAUGUUUGUACCGCUUGUACAGGAUAGGUAGGAGCCGAAGAGACGUGUGCGCUAGCAUACGAGGAGGCAAUGGUGGGAUACUACCCUGGCUGUAUGACCAUUCUAACCCGCCACGCUUAGCGCGUGGGGAGACAGUGUCAGGUGGGCAGUUUGACUGGGGCGGUCGCCUCCUAAAGAGUAACGGAGGCGCCCAAAGGUUCCCUCAGAAUGGAUGGAAAUCAUUCG